rnacentral:rRNA from 1 species
CUACAGGCUUAACACAUGCAAGUCGAGGGGCAUCAGGAAGAAAGCUUGCUUUCUUUGCUGGCGACCGGCGCACGGGUGAGUAACACGUAUCCAACCUGCCCUUUACUCGGGGAUAGCCUUUCGAAAGAAAGAUUAAUACCCGAUAGUAUAAUGAUUCCGCAUGGUUUGAUUAUUAAAGGAUUCCGGUAAAGGAUGGGGAUGCGUUCCAUUAGGUUGUUGGUGAGGUAACGGCUCACCAAGCCUUCGAUGGAUAGGGGUUCUGAGAGGAAGGUCCCCCACAUUGGAACUGAGACACGGUCCAAACUCCUACGGGAGGCAGCAGUGAGGAAUAUUGGUCAAUGGGCGCUAGCCUGAACCAGCCAAGUAGCGUGAAGGAUGAAGGCUCUAUGGGUCGUAAACUUCUUUUAUAUAAGAAUAAAGUGCAGUAUGUAUACUGUUUUGUAUGUAUUAUAUGAAUAAGGAUCGGCUAACUCCGUGCCAGCAGCCGCGGUAAUACGGAGGAUCCGAGCGUUAUCCGGAUUUAUUGGGUUUAAAGGGAGCGUAGGUGGACUGGUAAGUCAGUUGUGAAAGUUUGCGGCUCAACCGUAAAAUUGCAGUUGAUACUGUCAGUCUUGAGUACAGUAGAGGUGGGCGGAAUUCGUGGUGUAGCGGUGAAAUGCUUAGAUAUCACGAAGAACUCCGAUUGCGAAGGCAGCUCACUGGACUGCAACUGACACUGAUGCUCGAAAGUGUGGGUAUCAAACAGGAUUAGAUACCCUGGUAGUCCACACAGUAAACGAUGAAUACUCGCUGUUUGCGAUAUACAGUAAGCGGCCAAGCGAAAGCAUUAAGUAUUCCACCUGGGGAGUACGCCGGCAACGGUGAAACUCAAAGGAAUUGACGGGGGCCCGCACAAGCGGAGGAACAUGUGGUUUAAUUCGAUGAUACGCGAGGAACCUUACCCGGGCUUAAAUUGCAGUGGAAUGAUGUGGAAACAUGUCAGUGAGCAAUCACCGCUGUGAAGGUGCUGCAUGGUUGUCGUCAGCUCGUGCCGUGAGGUGUCGGCUUAAGUGCCAUAACGAGCGCAACCCUUAUCUUUAGUUACUAACAGGUUAUGCUGAGGACUCUAGAGAGACUGCCGUCGUAAGAUGUGAGGAAGGUGGGGAUGACGUCAAAUCAGCACGGCCCUUACGUCCGGGGCUACACACGUGUUACAAUGGGGGGUACAGAAGGCAGCUAGCGGGUGACCGUAUGCUAAUCCCAAAAGCCUCUCUCAGUUCGGAUCGAAGUCUGCAACCCGACUUCGUGAAGCUGGAUUCGCUAGUAAUCGCGCAUCAGCCACGGCGCGGUGAAUACGUUCCCGGGCCUUGUACACACCGCCCGUCAAGCCAUGGGAGCCGGGGGUACCUGAAGUACGUAACCGCAAGGAUCGUCCUAGGGUAAAACUGGUGACUGGGGCUAAGUCGUAACAAGGUAGCCG